UUACGCUGUUAUCCCUAAGGUAAUUUUUUUUAAAAUUCUAAAUUUUAGGUUUAUUAGUUCAUUAAUUAAUGUUUAAUUGUUUAAAAGUUUUUUUAAUUUUAAAAUUACCCCAAUUAAAUACACAGAUUUAUUUAAAUUAUUAUUAUUAUUGUUAUUUAUUUUAAUAACUGUUAUAAAAUUCUAAAGGGUCUUCUCGUCUUUUAUUAAUAUUUAAGGAUUUUAACUUAAAAUUUAAUUUUAAUUUUUAAUUUUAUUUAUAUAGUUCAUAUUUCAUUAAAUCUUUCAUUCUAGUUUUCAAUUAAAAAACUAAUUAUUAUGCUACCUUUGUACAGUUAUUUAUACUGCAGCCAUUAAAUUUAUCAUUGGGCAGAUUGGACUUAGAAUUAUUAUCGGUAAGACAUGUUUUUGUUAAACAGGCG
rnacentral:rRNA from 1 species